GUUCUUGUAGUUGAGUUAUCAACGAU
rnacentral:tRNA from 1 species